AUUGAACGCUGGCGGCAGGCCUAACACAUGCAAGUCGAGCGAGAGGCGGACGGGUGAGUAAUGUAUGGGGACUGCCCGAUAGAGGGGGAUAACUACUGGAAACGGUAGCUAAUACCGCAUACUAUCGGAUAACCCAUAUGGGAUUAGCUAGUAGGUGAGGUAAUGGCUCACCUAGGCGACGAUCCCUAGCUGGUCUGAGAGGAUGAACAGCCAGACUAAGACUUAGACACGGCCCAGACUCCUACGGAGGCAGCAGUGGGGAAUAUGGCACAGUGGGAGCGGGCGUGAUGGAGGCGAGCCGCGGGUAUGAAGAAGGCCCUAGGGUUGUAAAGUAAUUUCAGUCGGGAGGCGUUACCGACAGAAGAAGCACCGGCUAACUCCGUGCCAGCAGCCGCGGUAAUAC
rnacentral:rRNA from 1 species